rnacentral:rRNA from 1 species
UACGUAGGGGGCAAGCGUUGUUCGGAAUUACUGGGCGUAAAGGGCGCGUAGGCGGCAGGCCAAGUCGGGAGUGAAAGCCCGGGGCUCAACCCCGGAAUGUCUUUCGAAACUGGCCAGCUGGAGUGCGGAAGAGGCAACUGGAAUUCCCAGUGUAGCGGUGAAAUGCGUAGAUAUUGGGAAGAACACCUGAGGCGAAGGCGGGUUGCUGGGCCGACACUGACGCUGAGGCGCGAAAGCUAGGGGAGCAAACAGG